GUUUGAUAGUAUAAUCUUCGCUUUUAGCGUUGAGAAGACACGUUUCGCUUGGGUGUCCGGUAAUCGAUAAGAAGCAAGUGACUUAAAUUUUAACUGAUUUUUGCACUUUUUUCUUAGGGCCAAACUCCAAGACGCAGCGUGAUCGUUAUUUACGCACGCAAAUGAACUUCACCUAGACACUGAGUGCGACUUUUUUUUUGUAAAGAAAUGAGAUCACAGCACUAAGCUUGAUUCACAACUUUCACUGCACGGUAGACACCAGGAAAGGAGGCGCGCAGGCGGUCGCAUUUACGGCGCACGAAGUAUGUCACCGCGUAUAUUUUUCACACACAUCCAAUCCAUUCUUCUCAAGAACCAAACCGUAACCGUACAAUUAUUUCCACUGCUUAUUCCAUGUCAUGAAGAAUCAGCAUAACAUUCUGGAAGAUUUCUACCCGAGCGAUUCAGUUGAUGAUGAUGAUGAUGACGACGGUUGCCAGAUUUCCCGACUGUUUGUAAGUACCAAACUCCGAGCAGUCUUUCUUUCGCCUCUUUAUGCUUUCAUCCCAAUUCCAUUCCAGCUCAGAGCUAUGUGGUGCUCUUGUGGGCAGCAGCAGCACCAGCGGAAGAAAGUCCCGUUAUGUUCCACACCGCACGCUUGCGACGAUGUUUUUUUUUACUUCUUUACGAUUCGUUGUUUCGUGCAAAAUCACCUACACAAAAAGUACAUCUUUAAAUUGUGUUCCAUGCUCACCUUUUAUAUUCGUUUAUUGACUGUGAAUUAAGGUACGUCUUUUUAUUUCAAAAAAACCCUCGGAGCCUCACACUUUCAGACGAUGCACCUAACGUUUGGCUCGGACGAAAGAAUGCAACACAAUGAUCGGCGAUGAUCUUCAGGUGAGCCACGCAGAAAGGAGAGAGAGAGAGAGAGCGUGCGCACGUCCGUGUGUGAGCGCCGUUGCGAGAGAAA